rnacentral:rRNA from 1 species
UACAGAGGUCUCAAGCGUUGUUCGGAUUCAUUGGGCGUAAAGGGCGUGUAGGCGGUUUGUUAAGUCAUGUGUGAAAUCCCUCGGCUCAACCGGGGAACGACGCAUGAAACUGGCAAGCUAGAGUACCAAAGAGGGUGGUGGAAUUCCCGGUGUAGCGGUGGAAUGCGCAGAUAUCAGGAGGAACACCGGUGGCGAAGGCGGGUCUCUGGGCAGUAACUGACGCUGAGGAGCGAAAGCGUGGGGAGCGAACAGG